rnacentral:misc_RNA from 1 species
UCCGGUUUGUCACCGGCAGUCUCCCUAGAGUGCCCAACUCAAUGCUGGCAACUAGGAACAAGGGUUGCGCUCGUUGCGGGACUUAACCCAACAUCUCACGACACGAGCUGACGACAACCAUGCACCACCUGUCUCCUCUGUCCCAAACGGGCCUGCCCUGUCUCCAGAACAUUCAGAGGGAUGUCAAGACCUGGUAAGGUUCUUCGCGUUGCUUCGAAUUAAACCACAUGCUCCACUGCUUGUGCGGGUCCCCGUCAAUUCCUUUGAGUUUCAGUCUUGCGACCGUACUCCCCAGGCGGAAUGCUUACUGUGUUAACUUCGGCACCAAGGACUUAAACGCCCCUGACACCUAGCAUUCAUCGUUUACGGCGUGGACUAC